UUAAAAAAAAAAAAAAAGAGCAAUGAGAAUGGUGUAUAAUUUAUACUGGGGCAAGAAAUUUUCCAACAUAACUGUGCAUGAUAAAAAAGCUCAUUUUGCACCUAUAUUUCAGCAGAAAGUAACUGCACAUUUGACAUGCGACUGGAAAUGACCAAAUACAUAAAUUGCCCCCUAGACUUUAAUUGAAAAAUGUGGUAACACCUGAACUUUUAUUUUGACCUAUCAAACAACUUAACUUCUAUUUUUGUAUCUAUCAAAAAUUAUAUGGUUAACAACUUGUGUGAAUAUAUGCGCAUAAGAACCAGAGAAAUCGCUAUGAUAAUGUUGAUGUGGCAUUUUAACAAUGUUGUCCAGUUAUAGGUAAAAAUUCUCUUUUGUGAGAGAAAGAGGAGAUAUAAUAAUAAUAAUAAUAAUAA
rnacentral:misc_RNA from 1 species